CCUACGGGUGGCAGCAGUGGGGAAUAUUGCACAAUGGGGGCAACCCUGAUGCAGCGACGCCGCGUGAAUGAAGAAGUAUUUCGGUAUGUAAAGCACUGUCAGCAGGGAAGAAAGUGACGGUACCUGACCAAGAAGCCCCGGCUAACUACGUGCCAGCAGCCGCGGUAAUACGUAGGGGGCAAGCGUUAUCCGGAUUUACUGGGUGUAAAGGGAGCGUGGACGGACGGGCAAGUCUGGAGUGAAAGGCGGGGGCUCAACCUCCGGACUGCUCUGGAAACUGGCAGGCUGGAGUGCAGGAGAGGUAAGUGGAAUUCCUAGUGUAGCGGUGAAAUGCGUAGAUAUGAGGAGGAACACCAGUGGCGAAGGCGGCUCACUGGACUGUAACUGACGUUGAGGCUCGAAAGCGUGGGGAGCAAACAGGAUUAGAUACCCGGGUAGUC
rnacentral:rRNA from 1 species